rnacentral:snoRNA from 1 species
UCGUCCUGGCUUAUGCUUUUUUCUGCUCCCCUGUGCUCAGGUCUAACAGGGGAGUCGGUAGCAUGACGCACAGGAAAUCUUCCCUCUCAGUUUAUGAGGGCCAUCCUAAGAAUAGGACUGGCUCUUAUAGGCACGAGACGACAGU